AUGAACGCUAGCGACAGGCCUAACACAUGCAAGUCGAGGGCAGCACAAGGAGCAAUCUGAGGUGGCGACCGGCGCACGGGUGAGUAACACGUAUGCAACCUGCCUGUAAGCGGGGAAUAACCCGUUGAAAGACGGACUAAUACCGCAUAAUACUAAAUUACUGCAUGGUAAUUUAUUUAAACAUUUAUGGCUUACAGAUGGGCAUGCGCAUGAUUAGCUAGUUGGAGAGGUAACGGCUCCCCAAGGCAACGAUCAUUAGGGGUUCUGAGAGGAAGGUCCCCCACACUGGUACUGAGACACGGACCAGACUCCUACGGGAGGCAGCAGUGAGGAAUAUUGGUCAAUGGACGAGAGUCUGAACCAGCCAAGUCGCGUGCAGGAAGAAUGUUCCCUAUGGAUUGUAAACUGCUUUUGCAGGGGAAUAAAGUGCAUCACGUGUGAUGUUUUGUAUGUACUCUGCGAAUAAGGAUCGGCUAACUCCGUGCCAGCCGCGGC
rnacentral:rRNA from 1 species